rnacentral:rRNA from 1 species
GACAGAGGGUGCAAACGUUGUUCGGAUUUACUGGGCGUAAAGCGUGCGUAGGCGGCUAUGUAAGACAGAUGUGAAAUCCCUGGGCUUAACCUAGGAACUGCAUUUGUGACUGCAUUGCUAGAGUGUGGUAGAGGGAGAUGGAAUUCCGCGUGUAGCAGUGAAAUGCGUAGAGAUGCGGAGGAACACCGAUGGCGAAGGCAGCCCCCUGGGCCAACACUGACGCUCAGGCACGAAAGCGUGGGGAGCAAACAGG